rnacentral:lncRNA from 1 species
ACCAAUAUAAGCAAUACCUGAUUCUAUAAUUUCAAUUUGUAUUCUUCUUCGCAUUUAUUCUUCAACUUGUGUAAUGAAUGGUAUCCAAGAAUAAACCCAAUUAUUCCAUUAUUGAGAUUCGAAGAUUCUUUUGCUGUUCUACGUAUCAAUAAUUCAAUUCUUCAUAGUCAAUUAUAGCUUUAUUAUGAUUUCAUGAGACAUUAAAUAAGGCAAAAUUCAGGUGAAAACAUGAUAUUUGCACAUUUUAUAGAGAGAGAGGAGACCAAGAGAAGACAGGGCAGCAAAGAUAUGGGCACCGGGCGUCAACAAGUAUGCUAUGACGAUAUGAAGGGUCAGUCUUCGGAAGAUCACGACGCAAGACAAGCUGAUUGGGCAAGGGUGCCCUCAACCUAAGGAGUACUGGUUGUGCAUGACAGAGCCGGAGAGUUUCGAUCAUAUAUACUUCAGUUGCAGUUAUUACAGAGAUGUAUGGAGGCAGAUCCGUAGCCCAUAGGCAUAUAGGGGACUUUUUGACACCGACAGAUGUAUGGAUCGAAUCAUAUAUGGACUAGGUAGACACGAGAACACGACGAUCACCUGCAUGGGGCAUGUGUUGGACUAUACUUGGAUCAACCACAUAGGGCAAUUUGGAGUGAGCGUAAUCGGAGUAAGUAUAUAAGAGCAGAUCUUUACUGGCAUCAGAGCUGACAGCGUAUAGUUGUGGAUGUGCGUAUUGUUUAUGAUAAAUCUAGAUUUAAAUUUAGAAACUCAACUAUGGAAGACAUGUUAUUUGUUGUAUGGGAUAGAAGGGUGCUCAAAAUAACCCCUAACAGAUGUUACUUAGUAGUGGGUCUGGAUCCUAAAUUGGGUAUAGUAAGAUACUUGAGGAGGAGUCGGAUUGGGGUGUGUUUUUUAGGAACGGAAUUCUUUUGGGGUGGACGGGUGGUGGUGGCUACCCUACGUUUGUCCUACGUCUAACUAGUCGAUUUAGUUGAUUGCUGACGAUUUCGACCCUUGCCUUCUUUUGGAGAGGAGGGAAAGGAUGAUAUCUUCAACAAACUAUGGUCGUUUGGGAGUGUCGAGCAUUCAGAUGAACACAAGCACAUGGCGGGCAGAAGCAUAUCCCAAUCUUUUUGAAGGGUUUCUGAAACCGAGAUGAGAGAGAAAGGUGUAUGAAAACCUGAGGCUAGACAGGUGAGUUUUUUUAGGGAAUACGUGUGUGAGUUGUCUUUGUUUUUAUUACGAUUUGUGUUAAUUGUAACUUUCAAGCAUUACCUCUAUAUGAGGUCAAGUUCAGCGAGACUCACUGUCACAUGGUGUACCAUUUUUUGGAUAUAUGUUUAUUACGAUUUUUAUUCAAAAAAAAUGAUAUUUGCACAUUAUAUAUUAUAACAGAAGGUAUCUUUCUACAAAUGUAAAACUGUCAAACCUCCGAUAUAUCAGAACCACAUGAUAUAGGUGAAAAUGUAUACAGUGAAAUUCGAUCUUUGGGCAAGGCAGUUUGGGAAGAUGAAAUUGUUAAAUCUUCGGAUUGCCUAGCUUUUACAAAGCUUCUUCAGCAGUAGGUGCUGACUGUGGCCGGAGAUUGCACGGGCGGAGGAAAAGAGAAGAAAACAGUAAUAAGUAAUAACUGUCUGUUGACAGUUAGUGUGAGAGAGUUAAACUCAAUUG